AUGCGUCGGGUUCUGCGAUCAGUGAGUUUGCAGGGCAGGAAGAUGCCGAUGCGACUGUGGCUGCUUCUCACCCUCCUGACCCUCCCGCACUACGAGCGCUCUCAGACUCUCCAUCAGACCCCUCGAUUUAUUUCUCUGCCCCCCAGCUCCUCUGUCCAGCUGCACUGCUACCUGCACGGAUACAAUGCUGAGCCCUACAUGUACUGGUACCGGCAGCCUCCCCAGGGAGGAGCCCUGCACAUGCUCUUUCUCUCCAGAAACAGGGAUUCUAUUGACGACAGUUCAAAGAAACACUUUCAAGCUGCCCGACCGACCCAGCAGAACUUCAUGCUGAGCACAGACAGCCUCUUCCCCAACCACACGGGGCUCUAUUACUGCGCAUGGAGCCUCACACUUAGCCAAGCGGGUGCAGCCUCUGGACAAAAACUCCCCCUCCCCCGUCCCUGUGAGGAGCUGAGCUGA